rnacentral:rRNA from 1 species
GACAGAGGGUGCAGACGUUGUUCGGAAUCACUGGGCGUAAAGCGCGCGUAGGCGGAUUGUUAAGUCAGGGGUGAAAUCCCGAGGCUCAACCUCGGAACUGCCUUUGAUACUGGCGAUCUAGAGUCCGGGAGAGGUGAGUGGAACUCCUAGUGUAGAGGUGAAAUUCGUAGAUAUUAGGAAGAACACCAGUGGCGAAGGCGGCUCACUGGCCCGGUACUGACGCUGAUGUGCGAAAGCGUGGGGAGCAAACAGG